UGACAAUUUUCAGUUUUUUCACAAGUGGAAUGAAAAUAGAUUGUAGAAUCCAGAUUUAAUGCUACUUUAAGAAUCGUAUCAGCUCUUUUAACUACCACAGUUCAUGAAAAUUUUCAAAAUUUUCCUGAGUAGCAGUUGAACAAAUUAGAAUUACUUUAUCAACAUUGCAAUCUUCGAAUAACAUCAGUACUAACUAACGUAUCUCCUUAACCGAAUGCUACCAAAUUCCAUAGUUUCAAAAUUCUCUUCCUAGAUUUUUCAUUGAAUUCAGUCCAACUACAAACUCUCAAUACACAAUACAAACUCUCGGCAGAAAGCCUGAUACGAACGAAGACGUUUGCAUCAAGAUCUGUAGGAGAUCUGGUCUAACGCAACAGUACAGUAUGCAGUUCCCAACUCACUUGGAAAAGUUUGCCUCAUCUUUGUUUUUUACAAUAUGAAGGAAUAGUAAUGCACGGAAUAAACUUCGUCAGUAGUGAAAACUGCGUCAACAAAGCUUCAAUAGGAAUUUCGGAUAUUCAAUAACAAAUUCACCGAAUUUUGGAACACAAAUAGAAACACAUAUUCACACUCUUGCUCCUAGAAACACAAAAAUAAUAAUCAAACACUAAAAAUAUACUUAUUCUUUUAAACAUUUUGCUCCCGUACCUGUAGGUCGUCGGAAAAUGAGCAGAUGUAUAAUUCCAACUCUUUUUUCUGCAGGCUACAAUGUCAAACUUAGUCCAUUUUAAGUCCUCUAAAUGGUCAUGGCUAAGUUGCAGACGAUCCCGGACAAGUUAGCAGAGACAUCGGGCGAAGCCACUGUUGUUUUCUCUGCUGAAGAACUUCGAACCGGAUACCUGAAACAAAAUACCUAAAAAGUUACUGAUCAUUGGGUAACACGAUACAUAAACUCACCUUUUUAAGUUUUCCGAGUUGGUUUCCUUCCGUCCCUUCCUAGAGUGAUUGUUGAUGUGAAGAUCUGAAACGACGAAGAAACUAUAAUUGAAUACUUUCCUUUGCUGAUGUAUAGCAUCCAUUUCGGAUUUGUUGCAGAACAUAGCAAAACAUAAACAAUGAAAACUUACCAGCUGACAUGUCGAGUUGUAUUCCACCAUUUCCGGAUAUUUCCUUCCGCAGUUUUAGCCAGAACUGAAAAGAGUUAGAAAAACGUUAGAAUUAGGCAAAAAUCUGCACAAUUAGCGCUUAGAAGGAUUUAUGUUGUGAAGAUUAGGACUUACCUUGAUAAUCCACCAGCCACGGAUAGUUUGUUUAUUUUCGACCGGUCGACCAAAAAUUCAUUCUCUUGUUAUGAAAAUUUUCUUAUUAGACUCUUGUUCAUGAAUACUUGAGUUCCCACUUGACAGUUCUUAUGAGAGACUGUCAUGACUGAUCGCUACGACAGCGAAAACACUGAACGAAAUCAUUAGCUGUUUCUGUCAUAUGCUGACAUGAAAUUAUGCGGAUUGUGAUUAUAAACGUUCCAAAAGUUCGAUUAUUAAUUUUGUUCAAUCAAAAUAAAGAUAGUAAGAUGGACUGGUGCAUGCAUCUCUCUCAAGACAAAAUGAAUGUAUUACCAUUCAUUUUGAAGAGGGACGAUGGGGUAAUGUAACCGUUCGUUACUUUUGUAAAUGUGACUCUGUCACAAAAUUGACUUAUCCCUGUCCUAUUAAGUGAACCCUACAACAGUUAUCCAAACAGAUCAAAACCUUGACCGACUGCCAUCCCUUCCCAAGAUCUCACAUCGUCUUCUCAGGGGAAAUCCAUAGGCGUCGUGUGUUUUCGGAGCCCAGGCGGGGAAGUGUGGUCACCCAGAAAACAACACACUAGUAUUGUUUGUGUUACCGUAAAUGUAUGUGUGUUGGUUGGAUGUAGAAAAUUCCACUUAGCGCUUUAGCGGCUAUCCGCUUCCUGUCCUUUCUGUUCGUGAUCGCCUGAGGGAGCAGUUGUGCGCGACUUGAGUUUUUCAAACAAAAAACAGUGCGAAAAACAAACACAACACGUUAAAAGUAAAGCUAAAUUAUGUUAAAUUUGCUUUGUUAGUACGAAAGUGACAAAGGCAUAAACAACUGUUAAAACGACAUUAAAACGAAGCACAUUGUAAAACUGCAGAUAAAAGGUCCACAAGGGCCUUUUUCUGUUUGGCUGGUUCUUACGAACCACACCAUAAUUAUCCCCAGGCAACCAACAGUUCCGGACAGAAAACACCGUUCGAGACCGGAGUCGAGCAAGCACUUGGCAUCGACUCGAACAUAACCUCGUCUUGGACCGGUCAGCAUCAAAACAACAUCUUUUAGCCCGACGCUGGUGUCGAAAGGUCAACAAACAACAAUCAUACCAGCAUGCUUUAUUUCCGGCCGUUCCCAACUAUGCUAGAACCGGCAAGUAUUGGGGCGGCAUUUUGCAUGUCAAUCGUCUCCAGCCAGGUGCCUCCGUUACUGGUUGAGACGGUGAAUAAUAAGCCGACAGAGGAAUCGCAGCCGCGCGGCGAUUAACCAACGCCGAGGAAGAACCAAAGCCGCAAGUAUUAAUAGUGUGUGACGUCAUGCCAGGGCCCA